UACAUAUACAUUGGACCCAUUUUCACUCUGUACUUCAAACUGAUGUUCUAAUAAUGUCGUCCAUGUAGAAAAAUUGGAAUAACAUUUGAUAUUUUUUUAUAAUGAUUAUUAAGUUUAAAAGUUUUCUUCUGAUAUUUACAUAAAGAUUGUGGUAAAAAUUGUUCAAUAAUGUUUUCUAUUGUACUAUUUAGUGAUUUAUCACUAGAAAACUUCAAAUAAAAAUAUUUUAAUAAUUUAUUUUGAGAUUCAACUCCAUUAUUUGUACCAAUUUUAAUAUCAAAUUCCAAUUUAAAAAACUUACUAGUCCAUUUUUCUUCAAUUGUAAGCCAUGUUUUAAUAAAAUAAUCUUGUGCCUUCGGAUUUUUCAACCAUACAUCAGUUAACUUCAUCUUCUCAACUUUAUGAAUAAAUUCAAUGUGGUUUCUACUGUUAGCAAUGUUCCUCCAGAGUAUCAGAAGUUCACCUCGAUUUUCUUUAAUAUUCAGAUUUCCCUGUUUAUUUGUCCAUCUUAACCAUGCCUGUUCUCGAUGGAAAUCACAUAUGUAAGUUGGGCAAUUGAAAAUCCUGAUUUUGAAUCUUCACAUUGAACAAAAAAUGAAGCAACAACAGAAUAGUUAACGUUGGUUUUUACAACAAGGAGGAAUAAUGGAAGUGCAUAUUUUGUAGUUUUGUAUGUUGCGUCA